rnacentral:rRNA from 1 species
AUUGAACGCUGGCGGCAUGCUUUACACAUGCAAGUCGAACGGUAACAGGCCUUCGGGUGCUGACGAGUGGCGAACGGGUGAGUAAUGCAUCGGAACGUACCCAGAGGUGGGGGAUAACGCAGCGAAAGCUGUGCUAAUACCGCAUGUGAUCUGAGGAUGAAAGCGGGGGACCGAGCAGCAAUGUUUGGCCUCGCGCCUUUGGAGCGGCCGAUGUCGGAUUAGCUAGUUGGUGGGGUAAAGGCCUACCAAGGCGACGAUCCGUAGCUGGUCUGAGAGGACGACCAGCCACACGGGGACUGAGACACGGCCCAAACUCCGACGGGAGGCAGCAGUGGGAAAUUUUGGACAGGGAGCGGAAGCCUGUUCCAGCAAUGCCGGGGGAGGGAAGAAGGCCUUCGGGUUGUAAACCGCUUUUGGCAGGAAGGAGACGGUGUCCGCUAAUACCGGGCGCUAAUGACGGUACCUGCAGAAUAAGCACCGGCUAACUCCGU